AUGGGAGAUCUGAAUGAGAUUCUGUAUCCUUUUGAGAAAGAUGGUGGGAAUCCGAGACCACCACAGUUUAUGCAAGCCUUUAAAAAUGCUCUAGAGGACUGUAACUUGACAGAUUUUGGGUACGUUGGGGAGAAGUUCACAUGGCACAGAGGUGAAUUUCGUGAAAGGCUGGAUCGGGCCCUAAAAAAUGAGGCGUGGAAUAGUAAAUUUGAGAAUGUUGUUUUGACAAAUCUGGAAUACAGCAAGUCUGAUCACAGACCCAUUCUAAUGAACCUUCAUAUAAAUAAUAAUCAGGAGAACCAUGGUGUCAACACGGCAGUGCCAGCCACCACCGCGUGA
rnacentral:rRNA from 1 species